rnacentral:rRNA from 1 species
UACGUAGGGUCCGAGCGUUGUCCGGAAUUAUUGGGCGUAAAGAGCGUGUAGGCGGCCAGGUAGGUCAGCUGUGAAAACUCGAGGCUCAACCUCGAGACGCCGGUUGAAACCAUCUGGCUAGAGUCCGGAAGAGGAGAGUGGAAUUCCUGGUGUAGCGGUGAAAUGCGCAGAUAUCAGGAAGAACACCCGUGGCUAAGGCGGCUCUCUAGUACGGUACUGACGCUGAGACGCGAAAGCGUGGGGAGCGAACAGG